UUUAAAAAACAGUGUCAUGCAAAUUGCCCUUUAAAAUAUGAUGGAAUGGAAAGGGCCCUGAGCUUGAAGUUAGGAGGCCUGGAUUGUAAUCCUUGCUCUGUCAGUUAUUAGCUACACAUCCUUGAUCAAGUAAUUGUUCUGAGCCUGUUUAUUCUCAUUUGCAAAAUGGAGAAAAUGUGUCUACCUCACACAUGGUGCUAAUCCAGCUUCAGUGCGUUAGCAUGUGAAAGUGCCUGCGGUGUAAUAGGCAGACAGUGAAUUUUUGAGUUAGCUGAUUUGUUUUUAUAAAAUUUCUGUUUAUUAUUACAGAAGUUACAGAGUCAUAAAAAUACAGGUAAGCCAAAAAGGCAGAAACUCACCCUAGUCCCACCUCUCAGAGGCUCAUUCAGAGCUCCAGCACAUGUGAGGUAGGUCAGUGGAUAUCCCAGUAUAGGAGCAGAGAAGUUGCUCUUUUAAUACUUACUGACCUGGAAGAGGAGGAGAGGAAGGGCACAUGCCUAACAUUUAUUGUAUGUCUACAGUAUGAUUUAAAAUAAAUAAAGAUUUGGGCUCUGCUGCUAAAUGGAGUGUGAAUCCUGAAUCCCAUGCCCCUACCUGUGAAUGCUACUGCAGCUUCUUUAACUUACUUUGACUGUGAGGCUAGACCUAAUAAGAAAGUGCUUUGGAAAGGGAAAGAGAAGAGUUGUCACCUGGAGGCCAGGAUAAAUUUGGAAGAAGUAGGAGCGUUAGGCUCCUCUAUGCUCAAAGCUUUGGAUACUCUCAACAAAUUGCUAUUUCUUCUGCCCCCCCUUUUUUUUUAACAGCUU